GAUGAAGAACGUAGCGAAAUGCGAAAAGUAAUGUGAAUUGCAGAAUUCAGUGAAUCAUCGAAUCUUUGAACGCACAUUGCGCCCGCCAGCACUCUGGCGGGCAUGCCUGUUCGAGCGUCAUUUCAACCAUCAAGCCCCCAGGGGCUUGUGCUGGGGCCCUGCGGCUGCCCGCAGGCCCUGAAAACCAGUGGCGGGCUCGCUAGUCACACCGAGCGCAGUAGCACAUCUCGCUCAGGGCGUGCGGCGGGCUCCUGCCGUGAAACCCCCCACUGUAACCCCAAAGGUUGACCUCGGAUCAGGUAGGAAUACCCGCUGAACUUAAGCAUAUCAAUAAGCGGAGGA
rnacentral:misc_RNA from 1 species